UACGAAGGGGGCUAGCGUUGCUCGGAAUUACUGGGCGUAAAGCGCGCGUAGGCGGAUUGUUAAGUCGGGGGUGAAAUCCUGGAGCUCAACUCCAGAACUGCCUUUGAUACUGAAGAUCUUGAGUCCGGGAGAGGUGAGUGGAACUGCGAGUGUAGAGGCGAAAUUCGUAGAUAUUCGCAAGAACACCAGUGGCGAAGGCGGCUCACUGGCCCGGUACUGACGCUGAGGCACGAAAGCGUGGGGAGCAAACAGG
rnacentral:rRNA from 1 species